UGACGAUGAUGAGGAUGAUGACGAUGAUGAUGAUGAUGGUGAUGGUGACAAUCAUGAUCAGCAUCAUUAUAAUCAUCAUCAUCAUCAUCAUCAUCA
rnacentral:pre_miRNA from 1 species